UUAUGACUUCAUCCAUACUUACUGUUUUUGGACGUAUUGUGGAUUGGUCACCUUCACCGUGACCCCCCGUCUCGGAACAUUGGCGUAAAGGUUUUCAUCAUCAUCAUCAUCAUUGCCAGGGGGGGCUAGUGCUGCUUUUCGUGGGGCUGGCCGUGGUGCUCGGGGAUUGCGGCGAGUGAGACCCAGGCCUGUACGAGUGCGCGGUCGGAACUUGGUUAUAGUCUGUGAACGAAAUAGAUGAUAGUUUGUUAUGCAAGAUUCUCGCUACCUUAAACAUCAAACGCUGUAUAAAUCUAGACUAGCAAAAAUGAAGUGUCAAGAACCGUUUCACGUGCACCUUCCCGCAUCUCAUCCGCACGUGUACAAAUCUCACAACUUGCCAUCAAGAUGUGUUCGCACGGCUUGUUCCCAGUUAUUGCCAAGUCUGGAACAAGUUGUUAUCAUAUUGUAACAAGGUUGAUGAGGCCUACAGACUUCUGUAGUCAAC